rnacentral:rRNA from 1 species
UACGUAGGGUGCAAGCGUUAAUCGGAAUCACUGGGCGUAAAGCGCACGUAGGCGGAUUUGUCAGUCAGGGGUGAAAUCCCGGGGCUCAACCUCGGAACUGCCUUUGAUACAGCAAGUCUUGAGUUCGAGAGAGGUGGGUGGAAUUCCUAGUGUAGAGGUGAAAUUCGUAGAUAUUAGGAAGAACACCGGUGGCGAAGGCGGCCCACUGGAUCGGUACUGACGCUGAGGUGCGAAAGCGUGGGGAGCAAACAGG